CCCAGAUCAGAUAUUGAUAUGGGUAUGACCUCUCUUGGAGAACUCGUACCUGGGUACAGCUUCUCCAGGAGAACGCGUACCCAAAUUUCUUGGUACGAGUUCUCCUGGGUACGGGUUCUCCUGGGUAUGAGUUCUCCUGAUACCCAAUAAUAUUAAUAAAUAAUUUGGCACUCCGUAAUUCCUGCCCCAUUUUUAUUUUCUUAUUUUCAUAGAAAAAUAAAUAUCAAACUGUUUAUACAUUACCAACGUAUCACUGGUAGACAUACAUACAUGUAUACAUAUCUGACGUUACCUGUCCUGCUAGCGUUUGUCCACAAGACUUCAUAGCAUGUUUAAUGGCAAUACCCGCUGCCACGCCAACCUCUGCAAUAAGAUUGUGACCACAAGCAUGACCAAUUCCUGGAAGAGCAUCGUAUUCGCACAAUACUGCGACACGGGGACCUUCCCUGGAGUCAGAUUUUGAAAACUCAGCACGAAAAGCUGUGUCUAGUUUGUAACGUUUUUCCACAUUGAAUUCGUGUUUAUC